GGGUCAGUAGGUUGGUCGUGCCACCGGUACGUACUGGUCUCACUGAUUCCUCCUUCCUGAAGAACCGUAAUGCCAUUAAUUUGGUGUUGCGGGGAAACAGGACUGUUACUUUGAAAAAAUUAGAGUGUUUAAAGCAAGCUAACGCUUGAAUACAUUAGCAUGGAAUAAUGAAAAAGGACGAUCGAUCCUAUUUUGUUGGUUUCUAGGAUUGACGUA
rnacentral:rRNA from 1 species